rnacentral:rRNA from 1 species
CACGUAGGCACCAAGCGUUGUCCGGAUUUAUUGGGCGUAAAGAGCUCGUAGGCGGUUCGGUAAGUCGGGUGUGAAAACUCUGGGCUCAACCCAGAGCCGCCACCCGAUACUGCUGUGACUCGAGUGCGGUAGGGGAGCGGGGAAUUCCUGGUGUAGCGGUGAAAUGCGCAGAUAUCAGGAGGAACACCAGUGGCGAAGGCGGCUCACUGGACCGGUACUGACGCUGAUGCGCGAAAGCGUGGGGAGCAAACGGG